rnacentral:tRNA from 1 species
GCCCUAAUGGGAUAGCUCAGUUGGUUAGAGCAUGGUGCAGAUAACGCCAAUGUUGCAGGUUUGAUCCCCAUAUGGGACA